rnacentral:lncRNA from 1 species
AUGAGUUUGUAUCUUCUUCAUCUCAUCUCAUCUUAAAAAGAACUUCCAAUUUUUCUCUCUCCUUAAAAAUAUGAGUAGUGGAGCUCUACAUAUUACAUUAAGUAACAGAACGUGUUGUCAAGAAGGAGAAAAACAAGAAUUGGGAUUCUUUGCGCCUCAAGAGUCAUGCGGCCUUUGUAGAUGAGAGUCCUCCACUCCACAUACUAAGAAAAAAGUGCGUGGAGAUUGUCUACGUACAACUCAUAUCUACCUACCCAUCCAAAGUCUCAUUUAUUGGGUCAUCCAUAAAUAAAAUAGAAGGUAAGAAAUCGUGCGUGA